CCCGGGGUGUCCCAGAAAUGUCCCAAAGCCACCCCAGGGUGUCCCAAAGUGUCCCAGGGGUGUCCCAAAGCCACCCCGGGGUGUCCCAGGGAUGUCCCAAAGUGUCCCAUGGGUGUCCCAAGAUCACCCAACGCCACCCCGCGGAUGUCCCAAAGCCACCCCGGGUUGUCCCAUGGGUGUCCCAGAGCCACCGGGGUGUCCC